UACGGAGGGGGCUAGCGUUGUUCGGAAUUACUGGGCGUAAAGCGCGCGUAGGCGGAUCUGCAAGUCGGGGGUGAAAUCCCGAGGCUCAACCUCGGAACUGCCUUCGAUACUGCGGGUCUCGAGUCCGGGAGAGGUGAGUGGAAUUCCUAGUGUAGAGGUGAAAUUCGUAGAUAUUAGGAAGAACACCAGUGGCGAAGGCGGCUCACUGGCCCGGUACUGACGCUGAGGAGCGAAAGCGUGGGGAGCGAACAGG
rnacentral:rRNA from 1 species